GUCUUCCCCCCUCCCACUUCUUUUUCUUUCUUCGCAUUUUUCGUUGAAGUAAAUAGUGUCUACCUGGACGUUUCAGUGUAGAGACCGUCUCAAAUAGGGGUAGAGAGAGAGAGAGAGGGAGAGGGAUGGUGUUCAAGGGCAGAUUCUUCGCGUCGUCCUCUUCUUCCUCCUCCAAGAACGCCGCCAAGUCGGAUUCUCCGGAUGCUUCCGCAAAUGGAUCCAGAAGCCCUAGAUCCUCGCCCGUCGAUUUUCUGUCUAGAUCCGAUAAGAAGAAAUCUCGGCCUGCCAAGCCCGAUCAUCAGAUCGGAGCUACUGCUGGACCGGCCGCCGCCGGUACCUCCUCCGGCGGCAGUAGCAGUGGUGCGGCCGAGACGAAGCAGAAGAAGAAGGAGAAGUCUGGCGAUUCGACGGAGGCGAAGAAUUCAUCGCCGAUCAGGGCGUCGUCCUUGGGGUUGCAUCGAAUAAAGACGCGGUCCGGCCCGCUGCCGCAGGAGAGCUUCUUCGGAAGGGGAUUAGGCGUCGGGCCGGGCGCGAGCAAGCUCUCGCGGGCGGACGGGUGCUUGUCUACGUCAAGCGGCAGUUCGGGGAAGGGCGGCGGUGUGGGCAAGCAGAAGGAGGGAGCGUCACGGCUAGGAUUGCAGGAGAGUACGUCGUGCGGUGUUAGGGGAACCGACAAGGAAGCUAGCUGCGGUGGGAUGUUGAAGUCUGGGCAAUCGAGUGAUCGGAGUCCCGCCGGACUUCCUGGGACUCGAAGUCGGAGUGGCAAUAGAUCCGCCGAACUGGGCAAGAAGGGUUCUUCAAGACUUAAAUCAGAAGAUCUUACAAGUUCAGCACAGUGUACUCCUGAGACUCCUUGCACUUCUGAUACUCCAAAAGAAUCUGAAUCUCCUCGCUUUCAAGCUAUCUUGCGGGUAACAGGUGGUCCAAGAAAAAAGUUCCCUGCUGAUAUUAAGAGCUUUUCUCAUGAGCUGAAUUCCAAAGGAGUAAGGCCAUUCCCUUUAUGGAAACCUCGUGGCCUAUAUAACCAGGAGGAAAUUGCUGUGGCCAUACGGGGAAAAUUCGACCGAGCCAAGGAAGAAGUAGACUCUGAGCUUGCCAUUUUUGCAGGAGAGCUAGUGGGCAUACUCGAAAAGAAUGCAGAAAAUCAUCCUGACUGGCAGGAAGCAAUAGAAGAUUUAUUGGUUCUUGCACGACGGUGCGCCAUGACAACACCAGGGGAAUUUUGGCUUCAGUGUGAGGGCAUAGUUCAAGACUUGGAUGAUAAGCGUCAAGAGCUUCAUAUGGGCAUGCUAAAACAAUUGCAUACCCGCAUGCUUUUUAUUCUUACAAGAUGUACUAGAUUAUUGCAGUUCCACAAAGAAAGUGGUUUUGGUGAAGACGAGCAUGUUCCUGGAUUUCAUGGGUUUCGUCAUUCAGGACUUAUGCCAUUUAUUCCAGAAAAGCAGGUACAUUUUGAGAAAGAAGGUGACAAAACCACGCCUUUGAGAAAGAGCUUGAAGCCACCUCCCACGAGAAAACCAUACAGCCAAGAACAGCAUGGAUUAAGUUUGAAAAGUGAUAAUAUUGCAGAAUCGUCAGAAAUUUCUGCUGAAAUGGAAGCAGUAAAAGAUUCUGCUUCACCAGGAAACAGGGAGAAAAUAGCUUCUUGGAAGAAAUUUCCAUCUCCUGGACAAAAGCAUAAAAACGAGGUAAAAGUUAAAGAGUCAUUUGAUGAUAAAAUGGAUUCUUUAAGUGUGUCUGAUAAGGAGAAGACAAGCACAGAUAUUUAUGACAGGGUUCCUAAGGCUCCUGAAGCGGUUUCAGUUAAGGAGUUCCCAGAGCAUGGAGCUACUGUUACCAGGCAACACAAAAUAUCAUGGGGUUAUUGGGGAGAUCAGCCAAAUCUCUCUGAUGAGAGUUCCGUUAUUUGUCGGAUUUGUGAGGAGGAAGUACCAACCUCACAUUUGGAAGACCACUCAAGGAUUUGUACACUUGCUGAUAGAUGUGAUCAGAAGGGCUUAAGUGUGAAUGAGCGGCUUGAGAGGGUCUCAGAAACAUUAGAGAAAAUAUCAGAGGCUUACUCACAAAAGGACUCACAAAAUGUUGUAGGAAGCCCUGAUGUUGCAAAAAUUUCCAACUCUAGCGUUACUGAAGAUUCUGAAGUUUUAUCUCCCAAGUUCUCUCCCAAGUUGAGUGACAGUUCUCGAAGGGGGUCUGAAGACUUGCUUGAUUACCUCCCUGAAUCAGAUAAUUCUGUUCUAUUUGAUGAUUUAAAAGGCCUGCCUGGCAUGUCAUGUAGGACACGUUUUGGUGGAAGGUCCGAUCAGGGAUUGGCAACUUCUUCAGCUGGCAGCAUGACUCCUCGCUCUCCAUUGAUGACACCAAGAACCAGCCAAAUGGAUGUACUUUUAGCUGGAAAAAGUGCAUUUUCUGAGUCUGAAGACCUUCCUCAGAUAAAUGAACUUGCGGACAUUGCUCGUUGUAUAGCAAAUGCAAAUUUACACAAUGAUCAAGCAUCAGCAUAUCUUGUAUCUUGCUUGGAGGACCUUCAAGAUGUUCUUAGUAGCAAGAAACACGUUGCAUUGACUGUACAAACUUUCGGUGCACGUAUAGAGAAAUUGCUUCGAGAGAAGUUUUUGCAACUCUGUAAUGACGAGAAGGCUGAUAUCACUAGUACCAUAAUUGAUGAAGAUGCUCCAUUGGAAGAUGAUGUUGUUCAUAGUUUGCGUACUAGUCCUGUUAAUUCCACUCGUAGAGAUAGAACUUCUAUAGAAGAUUUUGAGAUAAUCAAACCAAUUAGUCGUGGAGCAUUUGGUCGAGUUUUCUUGGCUAAGAAAAGAACUACAGGGGAUCUAUUUGCCAUAAAGGUUCUUAAGAAGGCUGAUAUGAUCCGUAAAAAUGCAGUGGAGAGCAUUUUGGCUGAACGUGACAUCUUAAUCUCUGUUCGCAAUCCUUUUGUGGUUCGAUUUUUCUAUUCAUUUACCUGCCGGGAGAACCUCUAUCUUGUAAUGGAGUAUCUAAAUGGAGGAGAUCUGUAUUCAUUGCUGAGAAAUUUAGGCUGUUUGGAUGAGGAUGUUGCACGCAUAUACAUAGCUGAAGUUGUACUUGCACUAGAAUACUUGCAUUCUCUACGUAUUGUACAUCGAGAUUUGAAGCCAGAUAAUUUAUUGAUUGCUCAUGAUGGGCACAUCAAGUUGACAGAUUUUGGGCUUUCGAAGGUUGGUCUCAUCAACAGCACUGAUGAUUUAUCUGGUCCAGCAGCUAGUGGAUCAACUUUACUUGGAGAAUAUGAGCACCAUUCAUCUGUUCCUGAGCAUGAAAACCCAAGAGAAAGGCGGCAGAAGCGUUCAGCUGUUGGUACACCUGAUUAUUUAGCACCUGAGAUACUUCUUGGCACUGGGCAUGGUACUGCUGCGGAUUGGUGGUCUGUGGGUGUUAUUCUUUUUGAAUUGAUUGUUGGUAUACCACCAUUCAAUGCGGAGCAUCCUCAGACAAUUUUUGACAACAUACUCAACCGUAAAAUUCCUUGGCCACAGAUACCUGAAGAGAUGAGCCAUGAAGCACAGGACUUGAUUGACAGAUUAUUGACAGAAGAUCCUGGUCAGAGGCUUGGAGCCAAAGGAGCAGAAGAGGUGAAAGAGCAUGUGUUUUUCAAAGAUAUCAAUUGGGACACACUUGCCAGACAGAAGGCGGCAUUUGUUCCUGCUUCAGAUGGUGCCUUUGAUACAAGUUACUUCACAAGUCGCUAUUCAUGGAAUCAAUCUGAUGAGCGUGUCUUUUCACCAAAUGAGUUUGACAUUUCUGAUACAGAAAGUAUAAGUGGCAGCAGUGAUUCGUUGGGCAACCAACAAGAUGAAUUGGCUGAUGAGUGUGGAGGUCUGACCGAGUUUGAUUCAGGCUUGUCAGUAAAUUACUCUUUCAGUAAUUUUUCAUUUAAGAAUCUGUCUCAGCUUGCAUCAAUCAAUUACGACCUGCUUACCAAGGGGAAGAAGGACGACACGCCCACAAACUUUGAUCUAUAAAUACAUGCAAAGAGUGAUGGAUUCACCCAAGCGAAACAAUGUGGUGAUAAUGGCUGUAAAUAUUGUAAAUAUACACAAAAAAUCAGGAAGAUCCAGAAUCUGUUAUUCUGACUCGGCUGCAGCUCGCUUUUGGAGCUCCAAUUUUAGUCACGAGUUCAAAUUAUAGGUGGAGGGUAAUUAUUUAGUUUGAAGCCCUUGAGCCGGCAGAUGGAGAUCCAUGCACAAAGGAGUUUUGAAUGGAAUAUAGGUGCACAGAAUUCCAUCCACUGUAACAAAAAAUAACUAUUAUCAGUGUACGUUGUUGUCAGCAUUUUCUUGUUUUGCAAGAGGAAAAAGAAAGGCUUUAGAAA